rnacentral:rRNA from 1 species
AGUGAACGCUGGCGGUAGGCCUAACACAUGCAAGUCGAACGGCAGCACAGUAAGAGCUUGCUCUUACGGGUGGCGAGUGGCGGACGGGUGAGGAAUACAUCGGAAUCUACUUUUUCGUGGGGGAUAACGUAGGGAAACUUACGCUAAUACCGCAUACGACCUACGGGUGAAAGCAGGGGAUCUUCGGACCUUGCGCGAUUGAUUGACCGAUGUCGGAUUAGCUAGUUGGCGGGGUAAAGGCCCACCAAGGCGACGAUCCGUAGCUGGUCUGAGAGGAUGAUCAGCCACACUGGAACUGAGACACGGUCCAGACUCCUACGGGAGGCAGCAGUGGGGAAUAUUGGACAAUGGGCGCAAGCCUGAUCCAGCCAUACCGCGUGGGUGAAGAAGGCCUUCGGGUUGUAAAGCCCUUUUGUUGGGAAAGAAAAGCAGCAGGUUAAUACCCCGCUGUUCUGACGGUACCCAAAGAAUAAGCACCGGCUAACUUCGUG